rnacentral:rRNA from 1 species
AGAGUUUGAUCCUGGCUCAGGAUGAACGCUAGCGGCAGGCCUAAUACAUGCAAGUCGAACGGUCCCUAGCAAUAGGGAUAGUGGCGCACGGGUGCGUAACGCGUAACCAACCUGCCCUUGACUGGGGGAUAGCCCGCCGAAAGGGGAUUAAUACCGCAUAAAACCACAGACCGGCAUCGGUUAAUGGUUAAAGAUUUAUUGGUCAAGGAUGGGGUUGCGUGCCAUUAGCUGGUUGGGGGGGUAACGGCCCACCAAGGCGACGAUGGCUAGGGGAGCUGAGAGGCUGGUCCCCCACACGGGCACUGAGAUACGGGCCCGACUCCUACGGGAGGCAGCAGUAGGGAAUAUUGGGCAAUGGGCGAGAGCCUGACCCAGCCAUGCCGCGUGCAGGACGAAGGCUUUCUGAGUCGUAAACUGCUUUUGCCAGGGAAGAAUAAGGUUCGUGCGCGGACCGACGACGGUACCUGGUGAAUAAGCACCGGCUAACUCCGUGCCAGCAGCCGCGGUAAUACGGAGGGUGCAAGCGUUGUCCGGAUUUAUUGGGUUUAAAGGGUGCGUAGGCGGCCGAUUAAGUCUGGGGUGAAAGCCCGUUGCUCAACAACGGAACUGCCCUGGAAACUGGUCGGCUUGAGUACAGACGAGGGCGGCGGAAUGGAAGGUGUAGCGGUGAAAUGCAUAGAUACCUUCCAGAACCCCGAUUGCGAAGGCAGCUGCCUAGACUGUAACUGACGCUGAGGCACGAAAGCGUGGGGAGCGAACAGGAUUAGAUACCCUAGUAGUCC